rnacentral:rRNA from 1 species
CCUACGGGUGGCAGCAGUCGAGAAUCAUUCACAAUGGGGGAAACCCUGAUGGUGCGACGCCGCGUGAGGGAAUGAAGGUCUUCGGAUUGUAAACCCCUGUCAUGUGGGAGCAAAUUAAGAAGAUAGUACCACAAGAGGGAGUGACUGCUAACUCUGUACCAGCAGCCGCGGUAAUACCUAGGUCUCAAGCGUUGUUCGGAAUCACUGGGCGUAAAGCGUGCGUAGGCUGUUUCGUAAGUCGUGUGUGAAAGACGCGGGCUCAACCCGCGGACGGCACAUGAUGCUGCGAUACUGGAGUAAUGGAGGGGGAACCGGAAUUCUCGGUGUAGCAGUGAAAUGCGUAGAUAUCGAGAGGAACACUCGUGGCGAAGGCGGGUUCCUGGACAUUAACUGACGCUGAGGCACGAAGGCCAGGGGAGCGAAAGGGAUUAGAUACCCGGGUAGUC